rnacentral:rRNA from 1 species
AUUGAACGCUGGCGGCAGGCCUAACACAUGCAAGUCGAACGAGUGGCGGACGGGUGAGUAAUGUAUGGGAAACUGCCCGAUGGAGGGGGAUAACUACUGGAAACGGUAGCUAAUACCGCAUACCAUCGGAUGUGCCCAGAUGGGAUUAGCUAGUAGGUGGGGUAACGGCUCACCUAGGCGACGUUCCCUAGCUGGUCUGAGAGGAUGACCAGCAACACUGGAACUGAGACAUGGUCCAGACUCCUACGGGAGGCAGACGUGGGGAAUAUUGGACAAUUGGCGCAAGCCUGAUGGAGCCAUGCCGCGUGUAUGAAGGAGGCCUUCGGGUUGUAAAGUUCUUUCAGCGAGGAGGCGGUACUCGCAGAGAAAGCACCGGCUAACUCCGUGCCAGCAGCCGCGGUAAUUC